rnacentral:rRNA from 1 species
UACGAAGGGGGCUAGCGUUGUUCGGAAUCACUGGGCGUAAAGGGCGCGUAGGCGGCUUUGUAAGUCGGGGGUGAAAGCCUGUGGCUCAACCACAGAAUUGCCUUCGAUACUGCAUGGCUUGAGACCGGAAGAGGUAAGUGGAACUGCGAGUGUAGAGGUGAAAUUCGUAGAUAUUCGGAGGAACACCAGAAGCGAAGGCGGCUCACUGGCCCGAUACUGACGCUGAGGCGCGAAAGCGUGGGGAGCAACAGG